CAGAGUUGCAAGACUCCCAAACCAUUGUGAACCUACCUUCUACAGUUGCCUCGGCGGGGGCAGCGCCCCCCGGCCACAGGAGCCGAGCCGCCGGCGGAACCCAAACUCUUUGACACUAGGCCAUCUCUGAGUAUCUUAUUACGAAUAAGUUCA
rnacentral:misc_RNA from 1 species